UACGGAGGGAGCUAGCGUUGUUCGGAAUUACUGGGCGUAAAGCGUGCGUAGGCGGUUAUUCAAGUCAGAGGUGAAAGCCUGGAGCUCAACUCCAGAACUGCCUUUGAAACUAGAUAACUAGAAUCUUGGAGAGGUGAGUGGAAUUCCGAGUGUAGAGGUGAAAUUCGUAGAUAUUCGGAAGAACACCAGUGGCGAAGGCGACUCACUGGACAAGUAUUGACGCUGAGGUACGAAAGCGUGGGGAGCAAACAGG
rnacentral:rRNA from 1 species